rnacentral:rRNA from 1 species
GAUGAACGCUGGCGGCGUGCCUAAUACAUGCAAGUCGAGCGAACAGAUGAGGAGCUUGCUCCUCUGACGUUAGCGGCGGACGGGUGAGUAACACGUGGAUAACCUACCUAUAAGACUGGGAUAACUUCGGGAAACCGGAGCUAAUACCGGAUAAUAUAUUGAACCGCAUGGUUCAAUAGUGAAAGACGGUUUUGCUGUCACUUAUAGAUGGAUCCGCGCCGCAUUAGCUAGUUGGUAAGGUAACGGCUUACCAAGGCAACGAUGCGUAGCCGACCUGAGAGGGUGAUCGGCCACACUGGAACUGAGACACGGUCCAGGCUCCUACGGGAGGCAGCAGUAGGGAAUCUUCCGCAAUGGGCGAAAGCCUGACAGAGCAACGCCGCGUGAGUGAUGAAGGUCUUCGGAUCGUAAAACUCUGUUAUUAGGGAAGAACAAAUGUGUAAGUAACUAUGCACGUCUUGACGGUACCUAAUCAGAAAGCCACGGCUAACUACGUG